GACGAACGCUGGCGGCGUGCUUAACACAUGCAAGUCGAACGGAAAGGCCCUGCUUUUGUGGGGUGCUCGAGUGGCGAACGGGUGAGUAACACGUGAGUAACCUGCCCUUGACUUUGGGAUAACUUCAGGAAACUGGGGCUAAUACCGGAUAGGAGCUCCUGCUGCAUGGUGGGGGUUGGAAAGUUUCGGCGGUUGGGGAUGGACUCGCGGCUUAUCAGCUUGUUGGUGGGGUAGUGGCUUACCAAGGCUUUGACGGGUAGCCGGCCUGAGAGGGUGACCGGCCACAUUGGGACUGAGAUACGGCCCAGACUCCUACGGGAGGCAGCAGUGGGGAAUAUUGCACAAUGGGCGGAAGCCUGAUGUAGCAACGCCGCGUGCGUGAUGACGGCCUUCGGGUUGUAAACCGCUUUCGCCUGUGACGAAGCGUGAGUGACGGUAAUGGGUAAAGAAGCACCGGCUAACUACGUG
rnacentral:rRNA from 1 species